CAGCACCGCAUGCUGUGAACUGCACAAAACCCUAUGGGCAGUGACUCUCCCACUGGGUUAUAUUGGGAAAGUUGUUACCUGUAGUGUUCUUAAACCCCUUUUUCCUCCUCUGCAAACAACGCUCAGCCCUUCCAACCAAGGGUAACCAGCUCCCUCAGGAUAAUCCCUGCCUGUGUUGCUGAGGUCCACAGCGUGGGCUGAGGAGGCCUGAUGAGGUUUCUCCACGUGAGGCAGCACAGGAGGUCUGGAGCAAUUGCUUUUGCUGCUAGACACUGGAGAGCAGGCGGGUUUCUAGCUGCUCUUGCAAAGGUACACAGAUCUGCUCAGGAGGAUUUUGAUACUGCUGCGGGAUCCUUUCAAGAGGAUGUCCCUCAAGUGCUUGAAUUGCUUGGUAAGGCUGCAGGGGA
rnacentral:lncRNA from 1 species